rnacentral:lncRNA from 1 species
AUAGUGAUAUCUGAGGCAUUUAUACCUCAGACAUCACUAUAGAGCAAAGUUGGAUUUAUUUUUUGUUCACUGUCUAGACAUGGAAAAGUGUUAAUAAUUAUCAAAUAUGUGCAUUCUUUUUUUAAUUUCUGAGAGUCUGACUCUCAGAACAUUGACUAACACAUCUCUAUAAACUUUGCUUGAGCUCACUAGUAGUGAAGUAGAAAGCUCAGGGAAUAAAGUCAUCACCAGACUUGAGGCCACGUGACUAGAGGUUAUUAAAAAAUAAUAAGAAUAAAUAGCAUUAUAUGUGAAAUCUAUAUCAGGUCUCAGGGAGGGGGAGAAUUUGUCUUAGGAUUAAAAACAAACAACCAAAAAAAAAGCAACAAAAAGAGGUUAAAAAUUGUUUUUACAUGUACUUGAGGAAAAAAAUAAAGUAUUUUUAAAAAAGAAUAAAUGGCAUUUGCGUGGCACUUUAAGGUUUGCAAAGUACUUUACAUUCAUUGUCUCAUUUGAACCUCAUAACUGGUGUCCCCAUUACUUCAGCUUCUACCUAUGAUUCCUUUCUAGGCAGAUGCACUCUAGACUUGUUCUACCAUGCUCUAGGUCUCCAUUGUGAAGUCUCACUGAAACCCUGGAAUUCACACAUUGGAAAUAUCCUCUGUUCCUCUAAUUGGAUGUCAGUCCUAGAACUACCAUUUAAGGAGGGUGCCCAGGUAAUGGGGAACCUCUAAAGCUUCUUGAUCAGGGAGAUGAAGAUGGCAGAUCUGUGAUGAAGGAAGCUUAUUUUGGCCAUUGUAUGGAGGAUUAUUUGGAGAGGGAGACUGGAAGCAGGCAAGCCAAUUAGGAUACUAUUGCAAUAGUCUGGAUAAAAUGAUGAAGCCCUGAACUAGCCUGAUCAGAGUUGGAACUCUGGAUCUCAAGUCAGAGAAUCUGAAUCCCAAUUCUCCAAUUUUCCAUUUUCCCACAACUGGUUUGUGGUCCCCAAGA